rnacentral:rRNA from 1 species
ACGGGUGAGUAACACGUUGGGUAACCUGCCUGUAAGACUGGGAUAACUCCGGGAAACCGGGGCUAAUACCGGAUGGUUGUUUGAACCGCAUGGUUCAGACAUAAAAGGUGGCUUCGGCUACCACUUACAGAUGGACCCGCGGCGCAUUAGCUAGUUGGUGAGGUAACGGCUCACCAAGGCGACGAUGCGUAGCCGACCUGAGAGGGUGAUCGGCCACACUGGGACUGAGACACGGCCCAGACUCCUACGGGAGGCAGCAGUAGGGAAUCUUCCGCAAUGGACGAAAGUCUGACGGAGCAACGCCGCGUGAGUGAUGAAGGUUUUCGGAUCGUAAAGCUCUGUUGUUAGGGAAGAACAAGUGCCGUUCAAAUAGGGCGGCACCUUGACGGUACCUAACCAGAAAGCCACGGCUAACUACGUGCCAGCAGCCGCGGUAAUACGUAGGUGGCAAGCGUUGUCCGGAAUUAUUGGGCGUAAAGGGCUCGCAGGCGGUUUCUUAAGUCUGAUGUGAAAGCCCCCGGCUCAACCGGGGAGGGUCAUUGGAAACUGGGGAACUUGAGUGCAGAAGAGGAGAGUGGAAUUCCACGUGUAGCGGUGAAAUGCGUAGAGAUGUGGAGGAACACCAGUGGCGAAGGCGACUCUCUGGUCUGUAACUGACGCUGAGGAGCGAAAGCGUGGGGAGCGAACAGGAUUAGAUACCCUGGUAGUCCACGCCGUAAACGAUGAGUGCUAAGUGUUAGGGGGUUUCCGCCCCUUAGUGCUGCAGCUAACGCAUUAAGCACUCCGCCUGGGGAGUACGGUCGCAAGACUGAAACUCAAAGGAAUUGACGGGGGCCCGCACAAGCGGUGGAGCAUGUGGUUUAAUUCGAAGCAACGCGAAGAACCUUACCAGGUCUUGACAUCCUCUGACAAUCCUAGAGAUAGGACGUCCCCUUCGGGGGCAGAGUGACAGGUGGUGCAUGGUUGUCGUCAGCUCGUGUCGUGAGAUGUUGGGUUAAGUCCCGCAACGAGCGCAACCCUUGAUCUUAGUUGCCAGCAUUCAGUUGGGCACUCUAAGGUGACUGCCGGUGACAAACCGGAGGAAGGUGGGGAUGACGUCAAAUCAUCAUGCCCCUUAUGACCUGGGCUACACACGUGCUACAAUGGACAGAACAAAGGGCAGCGAAACCGCGAGGUUAAGCCAAUCCCACAAAUCUGUUCUCAGUUCGGAUCGCAGUCUGCAACUCGACUGC